rnacentral:rRNA from 1 species
GACGAACGCUGGCGGCGUGCUUAACACAUGCAAGUCGAACGGAAAGGCCCUGUUUUUGCGGGGUGCUCGAGUGGCGAACGGGUGAGUAACACGCGAGUAACCUGCCCUUGACUUUGGGAUAACUUCAGGAAACUGGGGCUAAUACCGGAUAGGAGCUCCCGCCGCACGGAGGGGGUUGGAAAGUUUCGGCGGUUUGGGAUGGACUCGCGGCUUAUCAGCUUGUUGGUGGGGUAGUGGCUUACCAUGGCUUUGACGGGUAGCCGGCCUGAGAGGGUGACCGGCCACGUUACGUCUGAGCUGCGGCCCGGACUCCUACGGGAGGCAGCAGUGCGGAAUAUUGCACAAUGGGCGGAAGCCAGAUCCGGCCCCGCCGCGUGCCGGGUGUCGGCCUUCGGGUUGUAAACCACUUUCGCAUGUGACGAAGCGUGAGUGACGGUAAUGGGUAAAGAAGCACCGGCUAACUACGUG